GACAAGGGCACAAUACAGAGACUCAAGCCCCAUUAAAAAGUGCCUGAGCCAUUUUGAUUUCAUUUUCAAGGCUGAGGUCCAAAUGGUAGCUGGGGGAAAAAGAGAGAGAGACCUCUAAUUGUUUGCCAUUUUCUUUCUGAAACAGAAACCAACAGCGUUAAUGUGGCAUGUGACAUGCCCACCAGCUGCCACUCAAUUUUCCUGUUUUCUCUGCUGGGGGUACAAGAGCAAGCUUUGACUCAGUACAUUCCCUCUCAACUCCAUGUUUCUCGCUCCUUCAGGAUCUCAGCCCCAUCAGAAAGGGGGCACGGAGGGAGUUAUUUCUUCUUCACUCCUCUCCUCACUGAAUGGGUCCCUGUAACAACAAAAACAUUCCUCAAAAAAAAAAAAAUCCAACAAAACUGACUGACCAGACAGCCUCCUUUGACACCAGUUCUACAUCAGUAAAUUCCACCAUUGCAGUGAGGAGGAAAAUAUUCAUCCUCAUCAAUUUUCCAAGAAUAAAAUGGUUUCUAUCAUUCUCUAUA